rnacentral:rRNA from 1 species
UACGUAGGGUCCGAGCGUUGUCCGGAAUUAUUGGGCGUAAAGAGCUCGUAGGCGGUCUGUUGCGUCGGUUGUGAAAACCUGGGGCUCAACUCCAGGCCUGCAAUCGAUACGGGCAGACUAGAGUCAGGUAGGGGAGAACGGAAUUCCUGGUGUAGCGGUGAAAUGCGCAGAUAUCAGGAGGAACACCGGUGGCGAAGGCGGUUCUCUGGGCCUGUACUGACGCUGAGGAACGAAAGCGUGGGGAGCGAACAGG